UACGUAGGGUGCGAGCGUUGUCCGGAAUUAUUGGGCGUAAAGGGCUCGUAGGCGGUCUGUUGCGUCGGGAGUGAAAACUCAGGGCUUAACCCUGAGCCUGCUUCCGAUACGGGCAGACUAGAGGUAUGCAGGGGAGAACGGAAUUCCUGGUGUAGCGGUGAAAUGCGCAGAUAUCAGGAGGAACACCGGUGGCGAAGGCGGUUCUCUGGGCAUUACCUGACGCUGAAGAGCGAAAGUGUGGGGAGCAAACAGG
rnacentral:rRNA from 1 species